AUGUCCGCCGCCUGACGAGGACAGCGUGCUGCUGAAGAGGCCUUCAGCCAUCCGCGGCACAUCCAUGCUUGAUCGUCUCGGCUCCAGCUCUUUUUCCGGGUGUGUAAAGAUUUAGGAAUUGAAGAUGGGGUUCAGAGGAUCAGACCUGCAAGGCAAGGCAAGACAAGGUUACAGGAAUGAGGCAUGCAUACAAACAAAGGCUGGAUAACUGAAUGCUGCAGGGCUGCAAUACUGAAGGGAUCCGGAGUCAUGGCUGAUCCUGUUGCUGUGGUCCUG